rfam:Myotis lucifugus cont2.26181, whole genome shotgun sequence.
GGUGGUUCUUGGAUGACACACCCUGAAAUCGGGCUCCCUCCUCUCUAGUUCUGGGUGCAUCACCCGAGAACUGCA